CCUACGGGAGGCAGCAGUGGGGGAUAUUGCACAAUGGGGGGAACCCUGAUGCAGCGACGCCGCGUGGGUGAAGAAGCGCCUCGGCGCGUAAAGCCCUGUCAGCAGGGAAGAAAAUGACGGUAACUGAAGAAGAAGCCCCGGCUAACUACGUGCCAGCAGCCGCGGUAAUACGUAGGGGGCCAGCGUUAUCCGGAUUUACUGGGGGUAAAGGGGGCGCAGACGGCGAUGCAAGCCAGGAGGGAAAGCCCGGGGCCUAACCCCGGGCCUGCUCUUGGAACUGGGUGGCUAGAGUGCAGGAGGGGCAGGCGGAAUUCCUGGUGUAGCGGUGAAAUGCGUAGAUAUCAGGAGGAACACCAGUGGCGAAGGCGGCCUGCUGGACUGAAACUGACGUUGAGGCACGAAAGCGUGGGGAGCAAACAGGAUUAGAUACCCGAGUAGUC
rnacentral:rRNA from 1 species